GAGGUAGGUGUGCGUCACGGCGGUCGAGAGAGCUCCUCCUUCCCUCUUCUUCCUCCCUCUUCAUCGUCUCCCUUUCCUGCUCAUUUUCCCUCUCCCUUCUUUCCACUCUUGAAAGUUUGGCUCUCUUCCUCCCCAACUGUGCUCCUCUUUCUCCUCGGUGGGAUUGUUUCUCUUCUUCACGGCUGGUGUACUCGUCUGUUGCAAUGGCGUUCAUGGGUUCGAUGAGUGCUGUUGGUUGAGUUAGCUGUCCUGCCAUUGUGUACUGCGUCCACCGUCGCAUCGCCUUUGCCAUUGAGUUCGUUUUGCCUGUUGCUCCAUCUUCGUCUGGUCCUCUGUCUUACCUGCUUUCGUAGCCUGCUUCUGCUUUCUAGCUCGUGCAAUUGAUUGUUGUUUUGCUUGUCAAUGAAAAUGUGGCUGCCGUUCUUUUUUUUAACUGAAAAGGACCUCUCCUACAGAGGAUGUUGUUCUUUUACCUGUCUCUGCACCAUUCUAGCUCUGACAGGUUGGUCUCCGUUUAUCUAGCAAGUUCAACGGCCUAUUGUGUUGCUGCUCAAAGUUUGCUAGCUGCCUGGUUUUCUUCCUAGUCUACAUGCGUGUUGUCUCUACCGACUUGCAUGUUUACCUAGGCCUAACAAAACUUGGUGUUAAAUGUAAAGCAUGGCCACAACGCUCACUAAAUGCUUGUUGCCUUGGGUAAAUAAGCCGUUCUCUUGCUUGUGUGUCUGGACGAGUUUUCAUUGCUUGCCUAUGCAUCGUUGUGUUCUGCCGGUUGUUUUCUAUGUAUUUCGCAGGUUGUAUGCUCUCUUCUCUUGCUGCAUCUCCGUCCGACUCAUCAAAGGUUUGCUGCUUUCCUUUCUACCCGCUUGUGUGUUUUACUUUCACUAUCUGCUAUAUCAUGUUGUCUGCCUUGAUGAUCGUUUAAAUAUCUGCUAUAUCAUGUUGUCGGAUCGAUUUUAGCUCCUCUUUCUUAGGUUCUGCUGACUUAUGUUCUUAUUUUAUCCUCAGUUUUCCCUUUCCAGU